rnacentral:rRNA from 1 species
GGUGCUGCAUGGCUGUCGUCAGCUCGUGUCGUGAGAUGUUGGGUCAAGUCCCGCAACGAGCGCAACCCUUGCCUUUAGUUGCCAGCAGUUCGGCUGGGCACUCUAAAGGGACUGCCGGUGUUAAACCGGAGGAAGGUGGGGAUGACGUCAAGUCCUCAUGGCUUUUAUGACCAGGGCUACACACGUACUACAAUGGCCGAUACAAAGGGCAGCGACACUGCGAGGUGAAGCCAAUCCCGUAAAAUCGGUCUCAGUCCGGAUUGGAGCCUGCAACUCGACUCCAUGAAGUUGGAAUCGCUAGUAAUCGUGGAUCAGCAUGCCACGGUGAAUACGUUCCCGGGCCUU